rnacentral:rRNA from 1 species
AUGUCCUACGGGGCGCAGCAGUGGGGGAUAUUGCACAAUGGGGGAAACCCUGAUGCAGCGACGCCGCGUGAGUGAAGAAGUAUUUCGGUAUGUAAGGCUCUAUCAGCAGGGAAGAAAAUGACAGUACCCGACCAAGAAGCCCCGGCUAACUACGUGCCAGCAGCCGCGGUAAUACGUAGGGGGCAAGCGUUAUCCGGAUUUACUGGGUGUAAAGGGAGCGUAGACGGUUAUGUAAGUCUGGAGUGAAAGCCCGGGGCCCAACCCCGGGAUGGCUUGGGAAACUGUGUAACUGGAGUACAGGAGGG